rnacentral:rRNA from 1 species
GACGUAGGGUGCGAGCGUUGUCCGGAUUUAUUGGGCGUAAAGAGCUCGUAGGCGGCUCGUCGCGUCGACCGUGAAAACCCGCGGCUUAACUGCGGGCUUGCGGUUGAUACGGGCGGGCUAGAGUUCGGUAGGGGAGACUGGAAUUCCUGGUGUAGCGGUGGAAUGCGCAGAUAUCAGGAGGAACACCGGUGGCGAAGGCGGUUCUCUGGGCCUUACCUGACGCUGAGGAGCGAAAGCGUGGGGAGCGAACAGG